CACGUAGGGCGCAAGCGUUGUCCGGAAUUAUUGGGCGUAAAGAGCUCGUAGGCGGUCCGUCACGUCCGCUGUGAAAACCCAGGGCUCAACCCUGGACUUGCAGUGGAUACGGGCAGACUAGAGGUAGGUAGGGGAGAAUGGAAUUCCCGGUGUAGCGGUGAAAUGCGCAGAUAUCGGGAGGAGCACCGGUGGCGAAGGCGGUUCUCUGGGCCUUACCUGACGCUGAGGCACGAAAGCGUGGGGAGCAAACAGG
rnacentral:rRNA from 1 species